GGGAGGGUGGUAGGAGGCAAAUCAGGUUUAGAGCAGGCAAGGAGGAUUUGGAAAGUAGAACAGGACUGGCAGAGAGAAGGGUGGCUAUGGAGAGUGAAGAAAGCCUGAACAUAAGGAAUCUCAGACCAUUUCCCAUUGCGGUGGCAAAAGUUGUCUAAGUCUGUAAGCAUGUUGAAAUCAAAAGUGCCAUUUUCGGGUGAUUGGGAGCCAUUGUCCAAUUUGUAUUGAGGCCAGGCAGUAUUACGGUAGAAAAUAAGCCUCUUAGGAUGGACCCUUGAAUGGAGGCUGAGAGCAUUGAGGUUGUGCAAAAGAUACCCAAGGGGGGUGGUUUUAGGAGGGGUAGAAUGAGAAGCUCCCAUGGUAAAUAGAGGAGGGGGGUAGAGGAAGAAGAGACUGCCAGUUGACAAGGAUGGCAGGUGAGGGCGUCCCCUGUCCCACAAGCCCUGUCCGGAAUGUAGGAGGUAGCUGCCUCCUGAAAUGGAGAAACCAGAGGACUGGAGGCUGAAGAAAGCCCUUGGCUCAGCGCUGGGUCUUUUGGGAAUGCAGAGACAGUCAAGGGUUCCGGGUAAAUGGCAAGACUCUCUCUCUUACCCCUUUGGAGGCUCUGAAGGUGAAUGAAGUCACCAACAAUGGGAGAGUCUAGGAGAUCCUUUGGGCCUUCAGCAGGUUUGGGAAGGGGAGGGUGGCUAGCAGGGGGUGGCAGGAGAGGGGGAAAGGCACCUAGGCUCCAGCGCACAAUGACCAGCAAGCCUGGGAGGAGGGAGAGUGUGAGAGAGAGAGUGACAGAAAGUCCUCUAGGGACGCCCGGCCAGAGUCUACCUCUUCCCAGGUUUUGACACCAAAAUGUAAGGUUGGCCGAGAGAAAGGACAAGUAGACCCAAAGUCAGGCAAGUAAGUUUAUUAACCUACCGGGCUGGUCCACAGCAAUCAGAAGAGGUAGCCCUGAGCUUACAAAGUGAGGGGUUUAUGUGAGAUGAGAGGGGCUUAAGGGAGUUAACUUUGCCGCUAGAUAGUUUAUCAGUUAGGAACAGGCACAAAGGCAGUUUAUCAGUUUACCAUGAACUUGCAACACCUCAUCAUGUGACAUUUAUGGCGGCAGCUAGCUGAAAAACAGGAGUUCACAGGAAUGUGUAAUUAAGGUUUGUUCAUAUUUCCUAUGACCUCCCCCAUGCUGCCCAUAUGGCUGUAAUUAGGGUUUGCAUGCUGUACCAUGACUGCAAAUUCUACUGUGGCACCUAGAUAAGGGCUUAGGAAUGCAGCUGCAGAGUAUUCAGGGUAAGGGUAUCUGGACUCAUCCUGGGAAUUCGGUAGUAUUUUUUCCAUUUCACCAUUAUAAAUAGAAACUGGGGCUGAAACACUGCUUACAUUCCCAUUAUUGUGAAGGUGUAAAUCUACCCAUGAGGCCUGCAGGCUCUCCUCCUGCAGCUCAGGCCUCACUCUCUGAUGUGACACUAGAGUGCUGCUGUGGCAAAUGGGGUUCACAUAAAAUGUGAGCUGUGCUCUGGGCUGUGCCUCAGUAGCAAAUUGUAGAAGUCAACAGAGGACACUAGUAACCAGGAGAAAGCAAGCAGGAGUGCUGUAGCCCAGUGCCAGGGAGUGCAGAGACACUGCUCUAAAAUGUAAAUAGCCAAAUCAAGAUAGAACCCUAUUCAACCAUUUUUGUAGCAGAGUGAAAUCUUACCUUCAGCAGGCACCUGGCUUCAAGCUGCUAAGCUACCUCCUGCUAUGAAGAUGGGAAAAGUUUAUUUGUCAUUGAAUAUAAGCAAUUAGCAUACACAGAUGGCCUCUUCAAUCUCCAGAUGAAUUUAGGAUGAAUUAUGUAUGACAUGGUGCUGGAAAUUCUUCUACUUGUGGACUAAUUUUGGUGACCAUCCUUCUGUCUUUGCAGUCUCUUAAGCAGAUUGACUAUGAUGCAUGUCACAUUCAAGUUCAAUUGUGUAAUAAAAUGUUUUCUUUCUAUCUUAUUAUUGUGGAGUUUCUCUGAGGCUGGAGAAAAUUUUUCUUUUAAUUAUUGUUUCCAAGCAUGGUCUAGAAUUAGCAGACAUGAUAUAAACACAUAAGGUGAAAACCAGAAUUUACUCUAGAGGGGACUUUCCCUCUCAGACUUCCAGUCAACUCACACCUGUGCUACAAAGUGCACACUGUCCCCUAAAUAUGCAGGCAGAAUUGUGUCUCUGCCUAUAUGGUAUCUAUAAUCCUCUACAGUCACUUCUAGAGAGGUUAGGUCCAGAUUUCUACAAACUCCACGGGGCACCAAUCAAUCAUUGUAUCUUCAUACCUGAAACUGAUUCAGACACCACGGGGCCCAAAAACCCAAUCAGAGUAACAUGUGUGCAUUGAGUAGACAUGUAGACAGAAUCUCCACUUUCCCCUUCCUCCUCUUGCUGAAAUGCUCACAAAUCUGCAGUUAACACCCGCUGCUACUCCAGCCGUUCAGGUUCUAAAUCUGCAGCUCCAAAUUUUGAAUCCAGGUCUUGAGAUUUGGGAAAUAAAAAACUUUUAUCUGGAAAAUGCAAGUCCUUUGGUUAUCAAACUCAGAGAGACAUUAAAAUGCAAGUGUAGUUACGCCUGUCUUCCCCAUUUGAAAUAUGUAUUCAUCUCUUGAAACUGUACACUAUUGCCCCAAGUAGCUAUAAACUAAUAAUGCCACAUUGGACACUAUAUCCCGUACCCUAAACCAUAACCAUAUAUAUACAAUAUAUAUCUCAUCAAUAAUCAGUUAUUUCUGUAAAUAAAUAAAAAUUUCUAACAAUCAACUUUGUAUCAGCCCACUCUCUGUCCCUCUCUUGUUGUCAUUACAAAUCCUCUUGUAACUGCUGCUAAUCAAACUGUAGAUUCCAGGCAACUUGAAUCUUUGCUCCCAGGUUAUAAUUCUUAAGUUUGACCAAAAUAAAGUGUCUACUUAUAUUCAUGUUGUGUCAGCUUUUUCUCUUUUUUUCAUGUAGAUUUAUCAUUUAGAAUGUGCUAGAGCAGACUCUAUGAGGGGAUCUCUCCUUUGAUUGUGCUUCACUUUCUGUAACACCAAAGGAUGCAAAUCCAGGUGGAUCCUGCCUAGAAUCUGCCAAUAAGGUCUGGCCUCUGCCUUGGAUUUACAAAACAGGGCCGGACUUUUGAUUGAGAAUGUACAGAAACAAACAAAAGAUAUUUUCUGCGUUGUGAAAUGUAAACAUAGACAUAGCCUCCAUUUGGGAGUGUGGCUCUUUGAGAUUUUUCACAUCUUGUUCAUUGACCUGCUACAGUUAUGUGAGAGGCUCCAGAAGGAAAUAGAAUCUGAGGGCAGAAUCUGUCAGUGUAAAUAAGCAUCUUAGGAGUAAGAGAUCAAGGCCCCAAAGUAUCCAGAGCCAUGACCACAACUACAUUUACCUGUAAAAUGUGAUACUGGAGUAGAGUAUUUUUGUUCUUUCUUUCAAGAGCUAGAAAAUCAGAACAGGUGAUCCAGGUUCAGGAGCUCCACUAGGGCACUUCCAUUUUCUAUGUAGAAUCAGCCUAAGUCUCCAGCCUGGCUUAUUAUUGGGCCAUCAGCCCCAGAUCACUGGGAAUCUCUCACAAUCACCUAGGUGUCUUUGAGGCAUUUGAGGAUGUCCAGAUGGAGUCUCACUCUGUGUCCCAGGCUGGAGUUCAGUGGCAUGAUCUCAGCUCACUGCAACCUCUGCUGUCCAGGUUCAAGUGAUUCUCCUGACACAGCCUCCCGAGUAGCUGGGAUUACUGGCACAUGCCACUGCACCUGGCAAAUUUUUGUACUUUUAGUAGAGACGAGGUUUCACCAUCUCAUCAGGCUGGUCCUGUACUCCUGACCUCGUGAUCCACCUGCCUCAGCCUCCCAAAGUGCUGGGAUUAUGGGCGUGAGCCACCACAUCCGGCUGUAUAAUUUCUAUUUCUUUCACUUGUUAAGUGUACGAUAUUUAUUUUCCAAUAAAAUUACCCUAGAAAACCUUAAGGGGUUUGUUUAAAUUGCAUAUUAGUAUAUAGUAUAAAGUUGACAGGGCAGUGGCUAGAAAAUAUUUAAAUUACAGAAACUGUUGGAUUUAAGUUUCUUUUAGGACAUUUAGAAGAAACAAAUCUGGUAGUACCCCAGUGACAUAGAGAACAGAAUUCUACAUAGGGUCCUCACACUGCCCCAGACUUGUUUACAUAUAUUCUUUUUGAAGGCCUUAUUUAGGUCUGACCAUACCCUGGAGUCUUGCUCUCAGAACUGAUUAGUAGAGAUCAAGAGUUUUGGCUGGUGAAUCCUGCUGCCUUUCUAGAGCUGGUGCUCACAAUUUCCUGAAACCCAAAAGCAGAUGAAUGGGAAAAAUAAAGUAUGUAUUAUAGAGUCUUAGCUUUUAAGUUUUCUAUUAAAACCAGUGCUUGCAGAGACAUUCUAUUUAGCAACUUGUUUUCUAUUCCUGCAGAUCCAGUAAUUGCUCCCCAAGUAACAAAAAAGUAAACAUAAACAGAAUAAAAUUUUCUCUAAACUGCAUUAAACUCAUCCUUUCUAUAUCUUUUCUAUCUGUCUAUAUUUAGCUUUUAUUUCUUACAACUUUUUAAAAAAUUUGAUGACAGAGAAACAGAAGAAUAAAAAUGCUGGGCCCUUUAUCUAAAUCCUGAAAAUUCCUAAACCCUUAGUACUAGCUCCCAGGGUAUUAUGAGAAUUAAAUCACAUAAUGUGUUAUGCCCAGCACAGUGCUCUGUAUCAUACUCUUGAGCACAUAGUACUUGCUUAAUAAACAUUGCAGUAGUACAUGUGUACAUGUUGUUUUUUAAACCCAGACUUAUUCAAACAUUGCUGCCUUCUGUUUCCUCUAUAAACUUAAAGAGCCAGCAAAGAAUAUAAAACUUUAGGAUGGAGAUGGGUUGUCCUUAUUUGCACGACAAGUAUUUGGUUGUGAGAAGGGUGUUAAGUGUAAGGGACCCUGUGCUCUGCCUGCUUUCUCUAAUGCUAAUAAUGAGCCAAGGGGGAGCAACAUCAGCAUUGACAGGAGACUUGUUUAAAACACUCUUUCAUAAACCCUUUUCAAACCUGCAGAAUCACCUUACAUAAUGUGGGACCAAAAUUACCAAGUGAUUUAUACUUGUGCCCUCCCCACAGCUUCUGUUUAUUGUUCUGGGUGGAAGGAUCCAUGUUGUUUUAAUGAAGGGCCUCAUGUGACUCUAAGGUGAGGCCAGAAUCAAGUAUGAAGGCUUCAAAAUACAUUUUCGAGAGUUAAGUUCCACCUUUGCACUAAAGGGUGGUCACAGGGCCUGUUCUGUUUGGGUUUGGUAGGGACAGGUCAGUGUGGUGCAUAUUUCCAUUACUGUAGCAGAAAUUGCUGGAGUCUCUGGCAGGGGAGGGCACCUGAGGACAGGAAAGGAGAAGCUUAUAUUUUUGUCUUCAUGGAGCAGCUCAUUAUUCCUGAAUCUAUUCUGUUUAAAAGACAGCAGCAUAUUCUCCAUAUGCAGGUGUAACUUGUCCAGAGAAUCUCAUCUGAGAAGGAAUUCCAGAGGAGGAGGAGAAAGAAAAAAAUGGCUUUUCUUCAGGCUAGAAAAACUGGGAAAACACAGGCUCUACCACUUACUGGAUCUUUGACAAAAUAUCCUUAUUAGGCCAAAAACGUUAGCAUUACUGGUAAGCUUGUUAGAAAUUCAAAAAAUCAGCGGGGAGCCCUGGCUCAUGCCUGUAAUCACAGCAUUUUGGGAGGCCAAG